rnacentral:tRNA from 1 species
GCUCCCAUAGUUCAACGGAUAGAACAAAGGUUUCCUAAACCUUCGAUCCAGGUUCGAUUCCUGGUGGGGGCA